GACGAACGCUGGCGGCGUGCUUAACACAUGCAAGUCGAACGAAGUGGCGAACGGGUGAGUAACGCGUAAUCAACCUGCCCUACAAAGGGGCGCAACAGUUGGAAACGACUGCUAAUACCGCAUACAGAAGGAGGGGAUUGCGUCUGAUUGGGUAGUUGGAGGGGUAACGGCCCACAAAGGCGAUGAUCAGUAGCCUGUCUGAGGUGUGGAACGGCACCAUCGGGACUGAAGACCGGCCCAGACGCCUACGGGAGGCAGCAGGGGGGAAUCUUCCGGAAUGGACGAAAGUCUGACGGAGCAACGCCGCGGGAGUGAUGACGGCCUUCGGGUUGUAAAGCUCUGUUAAUCGGGACGCGGUACCUGAAUAGAAAGCCACGGCUAACUACGUGCCAGCCGCCGCGGUAAUAC
rnacentral:rRNA from 1 species